rnacentral:rRNA from 1 species
CGGCUCAGUAACACGUGGAUAACCUGGCGUAAGGUGGAGGAUAACCCCGGGAAACUGGGGAUAAUACUCCAUAGAUUAGAGAUACUGGAAUGUUCUUUAAUCGAAAGUUCCGGCGCCUUAGGGUGGAUCUGCGGCCGAUUAGGUAGUUGUUGGGGUAACGGCCCAACAAGCCCGUAAUCGGUACGGGUUGUGGGAGCAAGAGCCCGGAGAUGGAAUCUGAGACACGAUUCCAGGCCCUACGGGGCGCAGCAGGCGCGAAAACUUUACAAUGCAGGAAACUGUGACAAGGGAACCCCGAGUGCCCGUAUACGCGGGCUGUCCAGGUGUUUAAAAUGCAUCUGAAGAAAGGGCCGGGCAAGACCGGUGCCAGCCGCCGCGGUAAUACCGGCGGCUCGAGUGGUGGCCACUUUUAUUGGGCUUAAAGCGUUCGUAGCUGGAUUUUUAAGUCUCUUGGGAAAUCUGCAGGCUUAACCUGCAGGCGUUUAAGAGAUACUGGGAAUCUAGGAACCGGGAGAGGUAAGAGGUACUCCAGGGGUAGAAGUGAAAUUCUGUAAUCCUUGGGGGACCACCGAUGGCGAAGGCAUCUUACCAGAACGGCUUCGACAGUGAGGAACGAAAGCUGGGGGAGCGAACCGGAUUAGAUACCCGGGUAGUCCCAGCCGUAAACGAUGCGCGUUAGGUGUACCGGUGACCACGAGUCACUGGGGUGCCGAAGGGAAACCGUGAAACGUGCCGCCUGGGAAGUACGGUCGCAAGGCUGAAACUUAAAGGAAUUGGCGGGGGAGCACAAGGG